rnacentral:rRNA from 1 species
UUAAUUCAUACAUCUUAUUUAAUUUCUGUUGUUGAUUUAUUUAUUUUUAUUUGAUGUUAAGAUUAAGGGGGAUUAGCUCCUUGUUCUGCUUUUAUAAUUGUCUGAGUUUAAUUUAGUUUUGUGGAUUUUAUGGUGAUUUUCUAUUUGAUUAUGUUAAAAUUUUAUUUGUUCUUUUUUUAAUUUUUUUGUUAUUUAAGUUAUUUAUUGAAAUGUUUUCUUUACUUUAGUUUGUAUAGUAAUUAUUGUGUAAUUAGUAAAUUUUAUUGGUUGUUUUGUGAGAGAUGGUAGGUGUUAAUUGCUUUUGAGGAAUUCGGCAAAGUUCUAUGUCCGCCUGUUUAACAAAAACAUCUUUUCUUGUUAGUUUUUGAAGUAUGGCCUGCCCACUGACUUAGAGUUGAAGGGCCGCGGUAUUUUGACCGUGCAAAGGUAGCAUAAUCAUUAGUUCUUUAAUUGUGAUCUGGUAUGAAUGGCUUGACGAGGCAUAAGCUGUCUUAGAGGUAUUGGUUUAUUGAAUUUGGUUUUUGAGUUAAAAUUCUUAAAUGUUUUUAUGGGACGAGAAGACCCUAUAGAGUUUGACAAUUUUCCUAUUUAUUCGUUGUUUGUGUUUAUUUACAUUGAGUGGGAGUGAAUUGUUUUGUUGGGGUGAUGGGAGGAAUAUUAUUUAACUCCUCUUUGUUUUUAUAUAUUUAUGUAUAUAUUUUUGAUCCAUUUAUUUUGAUUAUAAGAUUAAAUUACC